GCGUGGGGGCCGCUGCUGUUUAAAGUUGGCUUGGGAUAGGUUUCCAUCAGAAUGGGUACCUUGUGAGACUCAAUGGGAGGAUAAGAGCACAAAGACUUGCUGCUUUACGAUAGACAAAAGAUUUAUUUCUGUGGUUACUUGGGCUUGUAAUGAAGCCUUAGCCCCAGAGGUCAGUUACAUACAGUAUAUGUUUUCUCUGUUACUUCGCUUCUAAUAGCUGGACAGGCUUAAGGUAAACUGAAGCGCUUUGGGGGAUAAGGAAGCAGGAAUUGGGUGUCUGAAUGGCGUAGCCAGCGCGAAGAAGUGGGCUUUUGUAGAAGAACAGCUAGGAGCUGCUUCAGUCAGUAAAUUGCUUUGCUGCUCAAGCUUCUCUUGCAAGAUAAGCUCGGCUCCUAGCGACUUAAGGUACAUCCAUGUUGCUUUCUUAGCAGCAAGACAGAAAUGGUUUGCCAUAGCUUUCUUCCAGGAAGUUCUAGCAAGCUCUAGCCCGGUGUUGAGAAACACUGCUCUAGCCAAUGGCCUUCAUAUUCCUAGGAGGUCUCCUGUUGAAGUACUAACCAGGUACAACUGGGCUUUGUUUCCAAGCCCAGACAAAGUGGACCACAUUUUGCUACCUGCUAAGACACCUGUAUGUGGUACAGUGCUCCAAAAUCACCUACAAGCUCUGGAAAAAAUGCCAGCAGCUUGCCAACAAUCACAUCCUGACAUAGGAUGAAGUUUGAAGCAGCUGUGAAUGAACACAAGCCUGUGAUAUUGUGUAAGUCAUUAUCUCUCCCUUCACAGGGAGCUCCUCCCAAUGGAAGUAGGUGAAUGUUGUGGGAGUAACUGAAAAUAAUGCACUUCUCUCUUGAUUUGUACAAGGAGUGUAGCAUUCCCAGGCCACCUACAUUGUCUUAAUGCCCUGAAAAGCACACUGCUUGUAUGUGCUUGCUUUGAAAAUGGUCCCUACCCUACAAUUUUGAAUGGGUCUCCCAUAUGUGGGUUGCACAAAUUGAAACAACCACUAGGUGUCAGUAGCAAAGAGAUACAGGAAAAGGAGUUCUUUGCUGACCUCUAGCGGUUGCCCUGAUUUGUGCAGCCCAGAUAUGUUAGGUUUGAAAUGUGGAAAAAUGCAGAGAUGAUGCAGAAGAAGUAAUUAUGCAAGUGUGUGAGAGAGAUUAAAAGAACCUCUCUGCCUUGCCCUGUUGGUUAAACUUUGAACAUCUGGAAUGUCUGAAAGCGGUGGGAGGAGAUUCACCUCUGACCCUGUAACUUAUUUUAUUGAUUCCAGUGAUCCAAACAGGGCUUACAAGCAGUAUAAACAAUGGCAAAUUUUAAAUAAAUGAACUUGGCUUUCUUGAAUAAUAUUGAAAUAAUAGAGUCAAAUAAUUUAUUCAAACCUUAA